GCAGACAGCGGCGGGCGCAGGACGUGCACUAUGGCUCGGGGCUCGCUGCGCCGGUUGCUGCGGCUCCUCGUGCUGGGGCUCUGGCUGGCGUUGCUGCGCUCCGUGGCCGGGGAGCAAGCGCCAGCCUCUGACCCGAGGCCCCCUCCCCAGGCACCGCCCCCUGCUCCCGCGGCAGCUCCUGGAGCGCGGACCUGGACAAGUGCAUGGACUGCGCGUCUUGCAGGGCGCGACCGCACAGCGACUUCUGCCUGGGCUGCGCUGCAGCACCUCCUGCCCCCUUCCGGCUGCUUUGGCCCAUCCUUGGGGGCGCUCUGAGCCUGACCUUCGUGCUGGGGCUGCUUUCUGGCUUUUUGGUCUGGAGACGAUGCCGCAGGAGAGAGAAGUUCACCACCCCCAUAGAGGAGACCGGCGGAGAGGGCUGCCCAGCUGUGGCGCUGAUCCAGUGACAAUGUGCCCCCUGCCAGCCGGGGCUCGCCCACUCAUCAUUCAUUCAUCCAUUCUAGAGCCAGUCUCUGCCUCCCAGACGCGGCGGGAGCCAAGCUCCUCCAACCACAAGGGGGGUGGGGGGCGGUGAAUCACCUCU
rnacentral:lncRNA from 10 species